GGAGGGAGGAAGGCGGAGGGAUAUUCGGGCCGGACCUCUCCGCGGCGGCACCGCGCUCCAUGUUGAUUGGCUGCCCUCCUGGCCACGCGGAAUCCCCAAUUGGCCAGGCGGUCAGCGUUGAAGGGCCGCCCUGCGCCCAUUCGCCUGCUGGUUUCAAGACCCGGGUUGGCUGGGCGGGCAGCGGAACGAGGCGCGCGGGUUGGCUGAAGAGAGGGAAAUUGGGGUGGGGCAGGCGAGAGCCAGCCGCUGAUUGGGUUGGCCUGGUAAAGGCCUUGAGCUCAGACCGGCUGAGCGCUGGGAGGAGGGUGGACCAAAGGCGAGACUCUUGGCCCGCGUGAUUGGCUGGGACACGAGACGUUGAUAGGAUAGGGCGCCCGGGAGAACUGGGGAGAGGAGUUCGGGGUCGGGGCCGCGGAAAGGCGGGAGGCGCCCCGCUGCUUUAGGAGCCCGGCGCGGGGCACGAUGGGACGCCCCCGGGAAGGGGCGGAGCCAUGUUCGGGCUGCGGUUGGGAAAGCGCCGUCACUCCAAGGGGCGUGUCGAGGAGGGUUUCGCGGGCCCUAGCGGGGGAGGCGGGGGGGACCGUUAAAGCCCUGCACCGCGCCCACAGGAAGCUGCUUUCUUGGCCAGGCCUACUUGGUACCAGGCUCUCAGCUGGGAAGGACCUUGAAGACCAUGCAGCUCAACUUCCAGUUUGCAGAUGUGGAAACUGAAGCCCAGAGAGGGUAUGCAACGUGUCCAAGAUUACGCAGCCGGUGUUCCGGGGAAUCCUGCAUUCUGGGCCCAGACUCUUGUAAUCUUCCUGUUCUUGUCUUUAUUUGAGUAUGUACUUCAAUUUUGAUUAUCUGCUUUGUUGUUUGGGGGGAAAACCCAGCUCUUUUCUGCCUGCGUGUGUCCUUUAUUCUCACAUGACUGCCACGCUCACAAACUUCUGACAGCAGAUGUGGGCUUCCCCCCCCCCCCCCCCCCCGGCCAAGCAAUUCUCUGACACCAGCUGGGUGUCCUACAGUUGAACUCCAUUCUGACACUAGCUAAUUGGAGACGCUGUCAGACCCCACAGAUUAAGGGCUCAGUCCCAAGAGCCUGCCCCCACCCUACUUAGAUGCCAAUUGUAAGGAUAGGUCCCCAGGUUACCCUCAACUUCUGUUUGGCUACAAAUCAAAGGUUCGUUCCCACAGUCCCCUCCUCCAGUUCAAUUACUUUGCAAUUACAGCUCAGGGAAUUGCAUACAUUAGCCACAUCAUCAAAGGCUAUGACAAAGGAUACAGAUGAACAGCCAGAUGAAGAAAUGCAUAGGGCAAGGUCUGGGAGGGUCCUGAAUGCAGGAGCUUCUGUCCCUGGGCGUCAUGGAUGUGUUCACCCACGUGGAAGCUCCCUAAAGCCCCUGCUAUUGGGAUUUCUAGAGAGGUUUCCUCAUGUAGGCAUGAUCAAUUAUUAGCUCCAUUUCCAGCCCCUCUUCCCGCUAGAGAAGGGGGAGGGGGCCAAGGCUGGAAAUUCCAAGCUGCUUCUUAUGUAAGGCUUUCUGUUUCUGGUCACCAGCUUCCAUCCGUGAGCUCAUCCACAGGUACUAGUGCUCCCAUCACUUAGGCAUUUACGAGGGUUUUGGGGGCUCUGUGUGGGGAACCAGGGGCAGAUACCAACAACAUGUUUUUCUCUAUUGUCUCACAUUUGCACAUUUUGUAUGCACAUAUCUAUCUUUUUCCCCUGUUGGACCCUAACUCAGAGUUGCUCAGUUACUACUGAUAUUUUGAGCCUAAUAAUUAUUUGUUGGGUGGGGGGGAACCGUCCUAUGCACCGCAGGAUUUUUUAGCAACAUCCCUGGCUUUUACCCACUAGAUGCCAGUAGCACACCCUUCUUGAGUCACGACAAUCAAAAAUAUCUCCAGAUAUUUUGCUUGAUGGCCCCUGGUGGCAAAAAUUGCUUCUUGUUCCACUGCCCUAUUCCGUCCGCACCUGCGCCCCCCCCCCCCCCCGCCCUGGCAACUGAGAAACAGUGCUAUAGCUUCCUGAGGUCAGAGUGUAUGUCUUAUAAAUUCCUGUAUUCCUGGUCACCUGGGUGGCUCAGUCGGUUAAGCGUCCGACUUCAGCUCAGGUCAUGAUCUCACGGUUCAUGAGUUCAAGCCCCACAUCAGGUUCUGUGCUGACAGCUUGGAGCCUGGAGCCUGCUUCGGAUGCUGUAUCUCCCUCUCUCUGCCCCUCCCCUAGCUCACGCGCUGUCUCUAGCUCUCUCAAAAAUAAAGAAGCAUUAAAAAGAAAAAAAAGAAUUGGACACUCAACCGACUGAGUCACCCAGGUGUCCCAGUGCACAUUUUUAUUGUCCAGACAGUAUCAUUGUCUCAUGAAAAUAAUAGCUAACAUUUAUAAAGUCCUUACUAUUUUUAUUGUUCUAAGCUCUUCACCUGUAUUCACUUAAUCCUCAUGACAAUCUUAGGAGAUGAGUACUAUUAUUAUGCCCUUUCUAUAGUCAAGAAACUAAGGCUCCAAGAGGUUAGAGCUCAAGGUCACCUAGGGAAGUGACACCUCAAAUUUGAACCCUAACUCAGGCAACCAGGCAAUCCAGUGGAGAUUCUGGGUUCUAAACCAUUUUUCCACUGCUUUAAAAAAAAUUUUUUUUUUAAUGUGUGUUUUUGAGAGAGAGAGAACACAAGAGGGGGAGGGGCAGAGAGAAAGGGAGACCGAAGAUCUGAAGCAGGCUCUGUGCUGACAGCAGAGAGCCAAUUCUGGGCUUGAACUCAGGAACCAUGAGAUCAUGACCUGAGCUGAAGUCAGACGCUUAACCGACUGAGCCACCCACGCGCCCCUCUAUCUACUGCUUUUAAAUAUACACACAAAAAAAUCAACCCACUUAAAAAAAAAAAAAGCUGGACAUUAUCCAUCUGCCUACAGAAUUUGCAUAGGCAAACACAUGAUAAAAAUAAAAUUUUCUGUUAUGCCUUU